rnacentral:rRNA from 1 species
CAGUCGCCGCGGUAAUACGUAGGGUGCGAGCGUUAAUCGGAAUUACUGGGCGUAAAGCGUGCGCAGGCAGUUUUGUAAGACAGGCGUGAAAUCCCCGGGCUCAACCUGGGAAUGGCGCUUGUGACUGCAAAGCUAGAGUGCGGCAGAGGGGGAUGGAAUUCCGCGUGUAGCAGUGAAAUGCGUAGAUAUGCGGAGGAACACCGAUGGCGAAGGCAAUCCCCUGGGCCUGCACUGACGCUCAUGCACGAAAGCGUGGGGAGCAAACAGGAUUAGAUACCCGCGUAGUCCCUGUCUCUUAUAC